GACUUUCUUAGGUCACCAGGGACCAGUUUGCUCUUGCAUACUUAAAGUUAUGCAAUUGGCAGUUAACGCCAGUGGGAGCAGCUCUCCAACAAGGAUCGACAGGCGCUGGUAGCUAAACCUCUUAGCGCUUUCAACCUUAAAAUGGGAUAACUCUGAGGCAUACGUUCUAUGCUGGCUCCCAGAGUUCCCCGAUGGGAUUAAGCUCCGAUUGACUAUAGUAGUAACUCGUGUGAAAACACACCCUCCAUCGACUGCCUUCUUUUCCCUGUCUCAUUCCCUCAAGCUCCAAAUGGUGCCACCUGGGAUCGUCUCCCAAGUAAUCUACUUGUACUCGAGAUCUUUGUGUCAGGGUCUCCUCGUGCGGGAACCCAAGCUAAGGCACGCGACUCUCUCCCCCACUUCCGGGUCUCUGUCUCUGCGGUUAAAACGAGACCGACCCCAUCCCCCAACUCCAGGGAUGGGCACAUGACUCGGAGCUGACCAACCACACCACCAUACCUCUUUGGCUACAGCGAUUGGCUCAGGGGUCGUCACGUGACCCCCAACCAGGCCAAUGACAGCUUCUUCCUGGACUUCUACCGAGACGAUUGGGAACAUGAACCUUUUUCUGCUGCGGUCCCCAAACCCUUGGGACGUUAGGUUGGGGGCCGGUGUUCUCUGAGGAUGAAGCCGCCUCCGAGGAUGCUGGUGCUGAGCUGAGGAAGCGAAAUCAGAUCCAGGUGGCCUUAUGUGCAUCCCUGGUUCCAGCGCAGUGUAUAAUUUUAAGUGCCGUCUAUUAGCCUGGUCCAUCCUGAGCUCUCCUGCUCCCCACAGGCAGGCCUAUUUCCCAUAGCUCCUCGGGUUUGCCCUCCCUAUCUGGCCCCUCAAGUGACAGGGUUUGCAGUCCCUGGGUUUGGCCGGGAAAUCGUUCUUGCCUGAGUGUUCUGAGUCGCUUUAGCAACAUCGUGGAGCAAGGGGAGUUACCAACGUUCAAGGUGGCGGAAUAACCUGUUUGAGAAAUCAACUACUUUUCAUUUCCUCAACUCCAGAGUCAUUGGGAAAGAAUGAAAGAACCGAAUUUUGUGGGACCAAGGAGCAGCGUGCAAGGCCCAGAGGAUGAAUUCUGUUUGGUCUAAGCCAGCAUGGGAAUCCUGUCUCCCUUUGACCUAGUCUUGGGGUGAGUCAGUACGUGGGCUAUAAGAGUGUCCCGAACGCCACUGCUAUGCCAGGACGGCAGGCCAUACCUCCACUGUGCUUAAAAGAGACGGACAGCUUCGUGAUCACGUCCACUAAACCCCACUGAGUGGACUCCCCAGUUCAGCUUAUUUUUAGCGGAUCCCUCCAAGUGCCCAAGGCUCUCCCAUGUCACCUGACACUGAGGUGUUACAGAAUCACAAGACGCUGUGCCCACACUGAAAGGGCUGUCCAGUUGAGGGGUGCUGAACACAUGCUUCAUCCACUUCUUGGCAGAUCUACCUCUGGGUUUACAGGAAAGCCAGGCAGGACUGGUUGUUGGACGGGAUGUAACAAAUGUUCUUGUGGCUUCCUGCUGGAAUGAGGCUCUGGUAGGAUGCUCCUCCGGGCCCUGCAGAGCCCCACCCAACAGCUGGGUCCUGUGCUCUGGCAAGCAGCCUCAGCCUUUCCCCAGAGGCAGGACUCGGUCUCGUCCCGAGGAAACAAAUUCCUGGCUGCUGGCACAGCUUCUGCAACUUGGCUCCCAUCUCUCUGUGGAUUGUCUCCUUCAGGAAGUGGCGGCUUAACCAUUCUGUUCCUCCAUUUCUUUACCUUAAUGCGCAUGAGACAAGGGCUCUGAGGCCCCGCCAGCCCCUCCACCGUGUGACUGAAUGGCUCCAUCAGUCUCUCCACCUGUCCAGAGACACGUGGAUUGCUGGAUGGAGUUAUUUGGGAGUGUUAACAGAUGAAAAAACCCAAAGUUCCAACGAACAAAACAACACCGGACUCUUUGAUGGGGGAGACUGGGCUUCAACCCAGAGGCCAGCCUCCAGAGCCCUUGGUCUUAACCACCGUGCUUCACACCUGCUUAUAGUCAACUGGAACAUAAAACAGAAGAAAUAAAGGCUUUCGCUUGGUCGAAGGAGCUCACGCGUGUGGUCUGGGGCCCCUGGGUGGCUCAUGUCAUGAUCUCGCGGUUUGUGAGUUCAAGCCCCGCAUCAGGCUUUUUGCUGACAGCUCAGAGCCUGGAGCCUUCUUCAGAUUCUGUGUCUCCCUCUCUCUCUCCGCCCCUCCCCUGCUCA